GACGAACGCUGGCGGCGUGCUUAACACAUGCAAGUCGAACGGAAAGGCCCUGCUUUUGUGGGGUGCUCGAGUGGCGAACGGGUGAGUAACACGUGAGUAACCUGCCCUUGACUUUGGGAUAACUUCAGGAAACUGGGGCUAAUACCGGAUAGGAGCUCCUGCUGCAUGGUGGGGGUUGGAAAGUUUCGGCGGUUGGGGAUGGACUCGCGGCUUAUCAGCUUGUUGGUGGGGUAGUGGCUUACCAAGGCUUUGAGGGGUAGCCGGCCUGAGAGGCGGAACGGGCACAAUGGGACUGAGGUACGGCCCAGAAUGCUACGGGAGGCAGCAGUGGGGAGUAUUGCAGAAUGGGCGGAAGCCUGAUGUAGCAACGCCGCGUGCGGGAUGCCGGCCUUCGGGGUAUAAACCACUUUCGCCUGUGACGAAGAGUGAUUGACGGUAAUGGGUAAAGAAGCACCGGCUAACUACGUG
rnacentral:rRNA from 1 species